GAUAAACGCUGGCGGCGGCACAUAAGACAUGCAAGUCGAACGGACUUAACCAUUAGUUUACUAUUGGAGCGGUUAGUGGCGGACUGGUGAGUAACGCGUAAGCAAUCUGCCUAUCAGAGGGGAAUAACAGUGAGAAAUCACUGCUAAUACCGCAUAAGCUGUGAGUAUCACAUGAUACAAAUAGAAAAGGAGCAAUCCGCUGAUAGAUGAGCUUGCGUCUGAUUAGUUAGUUGGUGAGGUAACGGCCCACCAAGACGAUGAUCAGUAGCCGGACUGAGAGGUUGAACGGCCACAUUGGGACUGAGAUACGGCCCAG
rnacentral:rRNA from 1 species